CCUACGGGAGGCAGCAGUGGGGAAUAUUGCACAAUGGGCGAAAGCCUGAUCCAGCAAUGCCGCGUGAGUGAUGAAGGCCUUAGGGUUGUAAAGCUCUUUUACCCGGGAUGAUAAUGACAGUACCGGGAGAAUAAGCUCCGGCUAACUCCGUGCCAGCAGCCGCGGUAAUA
rnacentral:rRNA from 1 species